AACAAUGGUUAGCAAGAACUUUUCUCUAAUUUUCUCAUUUCUCCUCAUCACUGCCUCUCUCUGCUUCACCACUACAAAUGCCACGUCUAAGAGACUCCUCUUUGCCGAUAGUUUCAUCCCCAAGGUCCCCGUAAUUAACACUAAUUCACUUGCGGGCGGGUAUGAGGAUCUAGUUGCAACUCCGCAUCCACCCAGCAAGGGGGCAGGCCAUGAUGGAUCACCAAAAGG